rnacentral:rRNA from 1 species
AUUGAACGCUGGCGGCAUGCCUAACACAUGCAAGUCGAGCGGAAGAAGGGAGCUUGCUCCUGGAUUCAGCGGCGGACGGGAGUGUAAUGCCUAGGAAUCUGCCUGGGAGUGGGGGAUAACGUCCGGAGACGGGCGCUAAUACCGCACACGCUCUGAGGGAGAAAGUGGGGGAUCUUCGGACCUCACGCUAUCAGAUGAGCCUAGGUCGGAUUAGCUAGUUGGUGGGGUAAAGGCCUACCAAGGCGACGAUCCGUAACUGGUCUGAGGGGAUGAUCAGUCACACUGGAACUGAGACACGGUCCAGACUCCUACGGGAGGCAGCAGUGGGGAAUAUUGGACAAUGGGCGAAAGCCUGAUCCAGCCAUGCCGCGUGUGUGAAGAAGGUCUUCGGGUUGUAAAGCACUUUAAGUUGGGAGGAAGGGGCGUAAGUUAAUACCUUGCUGUUUUGACGUUACCAAAAGAAUAAGCACCGGCUAACUUCGUG